rnacentral:rRNA from 1 species
UACGAAGGGGGCUAGCGUUGCUCGGAAUCACUGGGCGUAAAGGGUGCGUAGGCGGACGCUUAAGUCAGGGGUGAAAUCCCGGGGCUCAACCCCGGAACUGCCUUUGAUACUGGGUGUCUGGAGGUCGAGAGAGGUGAGUGGAAUUCCGAGUGUAGAGGUGAAAUUCGUAGAUAUUCGGAGGAACACCAGUGGCGAAGGCGGCUCACUGGCUCGAUACUGACGCUGAGGUGCGAAAGCGUGGGGAGCAAACAGG